UGGGUGUACUGUUCUGCCACCAGGAAUAAC
rnacentral:piRNA from 1 species